rnacentral:rRNA from 1 species
GACGAACGCUGGCGGCGUGCUUAACACAUGCAAGUCGAACGGAAAGGCCCUGCUUUUGUGGGGUGCUCGAGUGGCGAACGGGUGAGUAACACGUGAGUAACCUGUCCUUGAAUUUGGGAUAACUUCAGGAAAAUGGGGCUAAUACCGGAUAGGAGCUCCUGCUGCGUGGUGGUGGUUGGAAAGUUUCGGCGGUUGUGGCUGGUCUCGAAGCUUAUGAGCUUGUUGGUGGGGUUGUGGCUUACAAAGGGUUUGAAUGGUAGGCGGCCGGAGCGGGUGACCGGGCACAAUGGGACUGAGAUACGGCCCAGACGCCUACGGGACGCAGCAGUGGGGAAUAUGGCACAAUGAGCGGAAGCCUGAUGCAGCAACGCCGCGUGCGGGAAGACGGCCUACGGGUGGUAAACCGCUUUCGCCUGUGACGAAGCGUGAGUGACGGUAAUGGGUAAAAAAGCACCGGCUAACUACGUG